AUACUUACCUAGCAGGGGAAAUACCAUGAUCAUGAAGGUGGUUUUCCCAGGGUGAGGCUUAUCCAUUGCACUCCGGAUGUGCUGACCCCUGCAAUUUCCCCACAUGUGGGAAACUUAACUGCAUACUAUGUGGUAGUGGGGAACUGCGUUCUCGUUCUCCCCUG
ensembl:snRNA U1 U1 spliceosomal RNA